UGGGGCGUCGCCAAGUGGUAAGGCACCGGGUUUUGGUUCCGGCAUUCGCAGGUUCGAAUCCUGCCGCCCCAA
rnacentral:tRNA from 1 species